GAUGAACGCUGGCGGCGUGCUUAACACAUGCAAGUCGAACGAAGCACUUUACUUGAUCUCUUCGGAGUGAUUGUUCUGUGACUGAGUGGCGGACGGGUGAGUAACGCGUGGGUAACCUGCCUUGUACAGGGGGAGUAACAGUUGGAAACGACUGCUAAUACCGCAUAAGCGCACAGGACCGCAUGGUCCGGUGUGAAAAACUCCGGUGGUAUAAGAUGGACCCACGUCUGAUUAGCUAGUUGGUGGGGUAACGGCCUACCAAGGCGACGAUCAGUAGCCGACCUGAGAGGUGACCGGCCACAUUGGGACUGAGACACGGCCCAAACUCCUACGGGAGGCAGCAGUGGGGAAUAUUGCACAAUGGGCGAAAGCCUGAUGCAGCGACGCCGCGUGAGCGAAGAAGUAUUCGGUAUGUAAAGCUCUAUCAGCAGGGAAGAAGAAUGACGGUACCUGACUAAGAAGCCCCGGCUAACUACGUG
rnacentral:rRNA from 1 species